rnacentral:rRNA from 1 species
AACUUUCAACAACGGAUCUCUUGGUUCUGGCAUCGAUGAAGAACGCAGCGAAAUGCGAUAAGUAAUGUGAAUUGCAGAAUUCAGUGAACCAUCGAAUCUUUGAACGCACAUUGCGCCCGCCAGCACUCUGGCGGGCAUGCCUGUCCGAGCGUCAUC